rnacentral:rRNA from 1 species
CCUACGGGCGGCAGCAGUGGGGAAUAUUGGACAAUGGGGGCAACCCUGAUCCAGCCAUGCCGCGUGUGUGAAGAAGGCCCUCGGGUUGUAAAGCACUUUCAGUGAGGAAGAACGCCUGGUGGUUAAUACCCAUCAGGAAAGACAUCACUCACAGAAGAAGCACCGGCUAACUCCGUGCCAGCAGCCGCGGUAAUACGGAGGGUGCGAGCGUUAAUCGGAAUUACUGGGCGUAAAGCGCGCGUAGGUGGCUUGAUAAGCCGGUUGUGAAAGCCCCGGGCUCAACCUGGGAACGGCAUCCGGAACUGUCAAGCUAGAGUGCAGGAGAGGAAGGUAGAAUUCCCGGUGUAGCGGUGAAAUGCGUAGAGAUCGGGAGGAAUACCAGUGGCGAAGGCGGCCUUCUGGACUGAAACUGACACUGAGGUGCGAAAGCGUGGGUAGCGAACAGGAUUAGAUACCCCGGUAGUC